UUAAUGGAGAGUUUGAUCCUGGCUCAGGACGAACGCUGGCGGCGUGCCUAAUACAUGCAAGUCGAGCGGGGUUAUUUAGAAGCUUGCUUCUAAAUAACCUAGCGGCGGACGGGUGAGUAACACGUAGGCAACCUGCCCACAAGACAGGGAUAACUACCGGAAACGGUAGCUAAUACCCGAUACAUCCUUUUCCUGCAUGGGAGAAGGAGGAAAGACGGAGCAAUCUGUCACUUGUGGAUGGGCCUGCGGCGCAUUAGCUAGUUGGUGGGGUAAAGGCCUACCAAGGCGACGAUGCGUAGCCGACCUGAGAGGGUGAUCGGCCACACUGGGACUGAGACACGGCCCAGACUCCUACGGGAGGCAGCAGUAGGGAAUCUUCCGCAAUGGGCGAAAGCCUGACGGAGCAACGCCGCGUGAGUGAUGAAGGUUUUCGGAUCGUAAAGCUCUGUUGCCAGGGAAGAACGUCUU
rnacentral:rRNA from 1 species